rnacentral:rRNA from 1 species
AUUGAACGCUGGCGGCAUGCCUUACACAUGCAAGUCGAACGGUAACAGGCCGCAAGGUGCUGACGAGUGGCGAACGGGUGAGUAAUGCAUCGGAACGUGCCCAGCAGUGGGGGAUAGCCCGGCGAAAGCCGGAUUAAUACCGCAUACGACCUGAGGGUGAAAGGGGGGGAUCGCAAGACCUCUCGCUAUUGGAGCGGCCGAUGUUGGAUUAGCUAGUUGGUGGGGUAAAGGCCUACCAAGGCAACGAUCUGUAGUUGGUCUGAGAGGACGACCAGCCACACUGGGACUGAGACACGGCCCAGACUCCUACGGGAGGCAGCAGUGGGGAAUUUUGGACAAUGGGCGCAAGCCUGAUCCAGCAAUGCCGCGUGCAGGAAGAAGGCCUUCGGGUUGUAAACUGCUUUUGUCAGGGAAGAAAUCUUCUGGGUUAAUACCUCGGGAGGAUGACGGUACCUGAAGAAUAAGCACCGGCUAACUACGUGCCAGCCGCCGCAGUAACAC